GCGACGCCUUGAUAAUUUGGCUGAAGCGAUAUCCAUUUUUCUUGGCAAUGACUAAAGCAAAGAAAUUAAAGUUCAUUAUCAGUAUUCAUCAUGU